rnacentral:rRNA from 1 species
AUGUCUGGGAACUGCCUGAUGGAGGGGGAUAUCUACUGGAAACGGUAGCUAAUACCGCAUAACGUCCCAAGACCAAAGAGGGGGACCUUCGGGCCUCUUGCCCUCGGAUGUGCCCAGAUGGGAUUAUCUCGUAGGUGGGGUAACGGCUCACCUAGGCGACAAUCCCUAUCUGGUCUGAGAGGAUGACCACCCCCACUGGAACUGAGACACGGUCCACACUCCUACGGGAGGCACCACUGGGGAAUAUUGCACAAUGGGCGCAAGCCUGAUGCACCCAUGCCGCGUGUAUGAAGAAAGCCUUCUGGUUGUAAAGUACUUUCAUCGGGGAGGAAAGGAGUAAAGUUAAUACCUUUGCUCAUUGACGUUACCCGCAAAAAAAGCACCGGCUAACUCCGUGCCAGCAGCCGCGGUAAUACGGAUGGUGCAAGCGUUAAUCUGAAUUACUGGGCGUAAAGCGCACGCACGCGGUUUGUUAAGUCAGAUGUGAAAUCCCCGGGCUCAACCUGGGAACUGCAUCUGAUACUGGCAAGCUUGAGUCUCGUACAGGGGGGUAGAAUUCCAGGUGUAGCGGUGAAAUGCGUAUAGAUCUGGAGGAAUACCGGUGGCGAAGGCGGCCCCCCUGGACGAUGACUGACGACUCACGUGCGAAAGCGUGUGGAGCACACACGAUUAUGAUACCCUGGUAGUCCACGCCGUAAACGAUGUCGUACUUGGGAU